UGAGGACUCCUAGGGGUCGUGCGAGUUCCUCUUCUUCUUCUUCUUCUGAGGUGGAGUCAUUAAGAAAAGAAAACUAAGACUUGAAGACUCAGAUGACUACCAUGGAUCAGAGGUGGGAGAAGAAGUGGGUUGCACAGGAACAGGCAUUGGCCAAGAUGCAAGCAAUCAUUGCACGAUGUGACCCAUCACAACAGCCCCAGUCAGAGGAGUCCCGAGACCCAUCAGACCCAGACCCCGCUGAUGAUUAGAUUUUUUUUGAGGAGUUCAUGCUCAUACAUUCACCAUCACCACUAUUAUUGGUUAUCCAAAAUAUAAUCCAGAUUCAUAAAGAUGUGGUUUACAGUGGGCUUUGCACUCAGCUUGGUCAUUCUGACUGGAGUUUCAUUGAUGCUUUUGUGGGAUUCAACCGAAGCUCUCACUCUUCUGGAGUUAAUGAACCACUUUUUUGUUUCCUGGAAGUGUAUCAAUCCUUGAUGCUAGCUCUAUGAUCAUUUCAACAAUGUUGUUAGUUGGUGUUCAUGAAUUUGGACAUGGAAUUGCUGCUGCAAGGUCAGUAUCAAGUGACAUUUUAUACCUUCAACUUUACUUGGUGCUGCUCAAAUUGUUCAUUACUCCAUUUACACAGCUGCAAUUAUAGAGUAUUGGCUUUUAGAGCACAUUUAAAGUUUAAGAUUAUGUUUGUAUGAUAGUUUAGCUAGUCAAACACAACCUAUAUUUGUUGAUCAGCAGUUACCUGAUUUGCAAGAUGUCACCAUUUAUGUUUAAAGUAACUUAUUUUAGAAUCAUUUUGUUGGAAUAAUAGUUUAUGAUGGAUUUCAUUAUAUACUCUGAAUGCUGAGUUAGAUAUAGCUAUGGUAGAUGAUAAAAUGAUGGAAAAAUAGGUAAACACAACACAAACAUGUUCAUGGAUGAAGGUGACGAGACAAAAGAAACUCCAUUAUAACAAGCCAUGAAUUUUGACUCAUUAGGGUUGGUUGGUUAAAAUUUAUCUCAUCAUUGAAUUUUUGUAAGACUGUAUCACAUAUUUAACUUUUUUUAAUCACUUGUAAAUAUGAUAAGUAGAAUGAGUUUUGUAAUCACUCUAUAUUCCUCUCAUCUUCUAAUUGGAUUGUCUUGUGAAAUUAUAGAAUCUGUUUAUAUCGGUGCAAUCGACCUCCAGGGUUUUGAUGUUGUUUGACAAUAUGCUAAUGGAGUUUAGUCAGGACAAGGUUGACCGAAUGACUAGCAAAGUGUGAAAAGUCUACCGAGUGACUAGUCCUAACUAGAGGGUAGGCAAGGGAAAGUCUUAACCGGAAGUUAGGCAAUGAAAAGUCCUAACCGGAGGUUAGGCAAGGUUGAGUAGCCUACCUAGUGACUAGCAAGUCCAAGCAGGUCAAGGUGACUAGGUGUUUGGCAAAAGGAAACCCUAGGAGAGGUAACCCUAGGUAAUGAUAAGUCUUGGAGGAGUGAACUGUAAGCAUGUGUGAUCAAAUCUUAAAUGCUGCUAUUACUUUACUAUUUUAUAUCUAUUGUGCUAACUUAGUAUUGCAGAAAAAUCUUAGUUAAUUAAGUUGAUCAAAUACUAAGCAAGACAAACAGAAAGUCUAAACAGGACCAGAUGUUUGAUGAGGAAGUUUAGGUAAGCUCCUUGAGUGGAGUGGUGAGGUUGUGUCCCAGUUGGGACAAGCUUUAGGCAAUGAUAAGAAAUCGACGGAGGUUUCUAAGUAAAGAUCAAGACUGUUCUAACUGUCUUUAUUACUAAUGCAUAUUAUUCUCUAAAUCUUUUUUGCAGAAUUAUUAUUAUUAUUCUUGUUGUGCUAACUUGGUUUUGUAGAAAGAAAGUUAGUUGACCGACAGUUGACUAAUCCAAGUGGAUAAGAACAAUAAAGGAUCGCGAUCUAGCAAAAAGAAGGCAACAAGGUUCCAUUGGAUCAAUGGGAUCAAUCGAUGCAACCAUUUUUGAUCGAAGCAAACAAAGAAAGACAUGAGCAUCAAUCAAUGGAUAGGAGGUUCCGUCGACGGAAAGGCCAAUACUCUAAAGUCUAAACCCUAAAUGUGCUUGGGGUAGGCUUUCGGCAACCUACGCUUCAUCUCUAGUUCAUUUGUUGUCGGUAUAUUAUACAUUUCAUAUUUGUACGAAUUUGCUUCUUCUCCGAAUGAUUUUCGGAGAGAAGAACUAUAUUAGAUUGUCCAUCGGAAGCGAUCAAAGAUUAUGGGUCUUAGAGUAGUAGUCAUUGGACUACGAACCAAGUAAAACUGAAUUAUGUCUUUGUCUUUACUUUUAUUCCGCUGCUAUUCUAGUUUGAUUCGGUUUUACGAAGACGAACAAGAAAAGGUUUAAAAUAAGAUUCACUCCCCAUCACCUGACUUCUGUGAUCCUACAGUUUGUUAUCCACGAACAUAUUCAUACCAUCCUAAUACAUUUUUGAAUUUUUUACAAUUUAAUUAUAUUGCAGCUACACCUAAUCUCUAUCAGAUAAUAUAUCUUUUUUCAUUCUAUCUUUUCUUGUAUCUU